rnacentral:lncRNA from 1 species
CUUAAGCUGAGCCGCGCGAAUUCUGGUUUCCAUUCAUCUCGAGCUGCGCCGAGUCCGGCUCCUACUGGGGAGCUGCGGCAGUUUGUUACUCGAGGCCGCCCUUCAAGGCGGGCCCCGAAGGCCCGGCCUGGUGAAGAGUUGGUUUUGUCAGCAGUUUGGUUUCUCCAUGUUUGACAGCUUCCCUUUGCUCACCCAAGGAUCUGCUAGAACUAUGUGAGAGUCUGGACAUUUUCUGGCCUUCUUGUAAAAGAAGAUAAAGGGAUGUGUUUCUGAGUGUCAUCCUGAUCUUUCCAAAGUGUUGCAGUGUGGUCCAGAGAGCAGAGUCAGCCUUUUUGCUGUGGAUCCCAUCACCAUCCAUUGCUGAAGAAGAAGCAGGGCUCAGGACAAGCAUGUCAAACACACCUGACACUACAAAUCUACACUUUGCAACUGGCUCUCAUCACAUGCUGUCUUCUAACCCUUCUCCACUGAAAAAUAAAAGGAAAAUGUAUGAUGGCCAAGUAAAAAAAAUGACAGGAAAUCUUCUAGUCAAGCUUAAUAGUAUUUGCUAUGUUUAGCUUACAGAACUGAAAAAUACCUAUUAGUGUAAAGACAUUAAGAAAUGCACAGAAAGAUGAAAAUAAAACGAAACCCCAUCCCAAGAGACCCCCUGCUUUUAGCAUUUUAUGGCAUACUUCUCUAAACUUUAAUAAAAUGUUUCAGUGAUUUAAAAG